rnacentral:rRNA from 1 species
AUUGAACGCUGGCGGCAUGCCUUACACAUGCAAGUCGAACGGUAACAGGUUAAGCUGACGAGUGGCGAACGGGGGAGUAAUGUAUCGGAACGUGCCCAGUCGUGGGGGAUAACUGCUCGAAAGAGCAGCUAAUACCGCAUACGACCUGAGGGUGAAAGCGGGGGAUCGCAAGACCUCGCGCGAUUGGAGCGGCCGAUAUCAGAUUAGGUAGUUGGUGAGGUAAAGGCUCACCAAGCCGACGAUCUGUAGCUGGUCUGAGAGGACGACCAGCCACACUGGGACUGAGACACGGCCCAGACUCCUACGGGAGGCAGCAGUGGGGAAUUUUGGACAAUGGGCGCAAGCCUGAUCCAGCCAUGCCGCGUGCGGGAAGAAGGCCUUCGGGUUGUAAACAGCUUUUGUCAGGGAAGAAAAGGUUCUGGCUAAUACCUGGGACUCAUGACGGUACCUGAAGAAUAAGCACCGGCUAACUACGUG